rnacentral:lncRNA from 1 species
GCGACCACUAAAAACCUUACACCCCGUUCGUCGAUUGGCCCCGGCGAACACGCCAGCCGUCUUAAACAAACGCAACUCGAUCACUCUUUUGAUCUUCAAAACGUCCAACGCAAGGACAAAAGCGCGCUACAACAAAAAUCCGAAAUUUUGGUUUAGCACUUCCAGUUGGCUUAAAAAUUGUCUCUGAGAAGAUGCUCGAUUCGUACCAUACAAGUCGUAUAAGCUGAGAACCUAUCGCGGACUUUAAAUCGGUACG